CAUUUUUUUUCUAAUUUUUUUUUUGCUUCUUUGCAUUUGAGGUCUCACUCGCUCCGUUCAAUCGUCGUGUCGGGUGAUCGGAGCUCCGCCAUGGGCGAAGCUUUAUUUGAACUUGAACAAGUUCUCAGGUCCAAACAGACUAAGCUAGGCACCGAGGCUAUUGCAGACCCUCUGGAUUGUAUUUUCGGUUCAUUGGCCAGAGAAGAAGAAAUCAUUUGAGUUAGAAAUGACGGAACUAAAAGUGUCUAGGUGGAAUUUCCUCCCAACAAUCCUCAACAUAGCACAUCAUGCAAAUCUCAGUCUCGUAGUAGAAGAUACCACUGUCAGCAUCGAAAGCUUUGAACGUGUGUAAUUCCAGGUUCAAUUCAUUCUAAGAAGAGAUUAAGCAAUCAUGAACCAUUUAUGUUUAUAACGUUCAUAUCCAUAGUGCAGUGUUGUCAUUUCCCUAGUACAAGAAAGAAAAAUGGUCUAUAAUCGUUUCCAUAUGGUUGUUUUAUGCUGCUUAUUCUUUGGUGAAUUAAUGGCCAAGGUACUCAAAGAAGCCACAGCCAUCCAUAGUGCACGGUCCAACAGAGCACUUACAGAGACGAUGACGAUGGUCAUGGCAGUAGCUUUGGUGGUUGUUGAGAAGGGACAGCGAAAUUUCGAGAACGCGGUAGUGGUUAAAGACCGCGUGGCAUGUUGAAAACCCUACACAAGCAAGACGGCUAGGAACACGCGUCAAGAGAGAUGCUUGUGAGGAGAUGCUUUUUGUAUAUAUUUACAGUAGAGGAGAUGCUUGUUGCUUUGUUAGUACCCAUCCAUUUUGAUCUUCAUACUGUGAGGUGAAAUUACUUGUUGGGUUCUACUGAGCAGUUGAAAGCAAAAGGAGUGAUUAAAAAAAGAAAUGGAAGCUUUAUCAAUUCGGGAAUCUGAAGCAUGAUUGCGGCCCUACCGCACGCAUAGUGCCGCAAUAGAUAUCAGACAAAACCCAUAAGCCCUACCUUUUUGUUUUUACCUUCUUGAUUCAAAGCCAAACCUUCAAUAGUACAACUUCUACAUGUGAUGAUUGUAGGCAUAAGAAUUUUUUUGUUCUCUAUUUUUCAAGAACACUUUUUUUU